rnacentral:rRNA from 1 species
CGCUGGCGGCGUGCUUAACACAUGCAAGUCGAACGAGACGAUUUAGAAGCUUGCUUUUAUUGAGUCGAGUGGCAAACGGGUGAGUAACGCGUAGACAACCUGCCGCAAAGAUGGGGACAACAGUCCGAAAGGACUGCUAAUACCGAAUGUUGUGUAUCCUCCGCAUGGAGGACGCAUUAAAGAUGGCCACCGCUGAGAGAUGGGUCUGCGUCUGAUUAGCUUGUUGGCGGGGUAACGGCCCACCAAGGCGACGAUCAGUAGCCGGUCUGAGAGGAUGAACGGCCACAUUGGAACUGAGACACGGUCCAGACUCCUACGGGAGGCAGCAGUGGGGAAUCUUCCGCAAUGGGCGCAAGCCUGACGGAGCAACGCCGCGUGAGUGAAGAAGGGUUUCGGCUCGUAAAGCUCUGUUGAAGGGGACGAACAACAGGUGUAGGAAAUGAUAUCUGUUUGACGGUACCUUUCGAGGAAGCCACGGCUAACUACGUG